CUUAAAAGUAUAUCUGAUAUUUGUAUUUUCCUAUUCUUCUCUGAGCAAAAAAAACGGCCAUGAAAUUCGCAUGAAUCAUUAUGGGAGUCAGAGAUUGAAUAAGAAACUAAAGUUACGCCGAUGUAACUUCCGCCAUCGUUGGCAAUUAUAUUAAUGGGCUACAUAUAUAUGUAGCUCGCACUUUAAACUUUUCCCGUUAGAGACACGUAGUUCAUUAAUAUUUUCGCGUUGCGAAACCAGCCAUCGAUGUAAUGAUCCGAACAAUUGGUAUCGAUUUCAUGCUUCUUGCAUUAGAUCUAUUUCCUGGCGCAGUAUUGUUUUGAGAGCGAUAGUUUUGGAUAGGAUAUUCAUGUUAUUGCAGUCAGUAAGAAUUAUUAACAUAGAACAUAAUUAUUAAAAUAGAGCAGCAGCCAACAAAUGUCAAAGUUGAAGUCAAUUUUGUUAAUUGAAUAUUAUCAUUUAAUUAAUUUAUUAUACGUAUCAUUAUAUUCAUUAUACUGAGGAGAUAAGAGAAGCACGAGCAAUAUUAAUAUUCACGGUUGGAUAACGCAAAUAAUUAGAAAUUAUUCGCGGCAGUGUUUCGCAUUAGGAGGCCGUGUGAGAGUCGAGUUAGCAGAACGACCGGUACCGGUCUAUUCCGCGUUGUGUCAUCCAAUUCCGGAUUUCAUCCGGCAAAAGAAUACCGGACCGUCGUCCGGUGCUCUCGUAGCCGGCAGACACAAACGCGUAUUCGCCCCACCAUUGAAUUCCUUUCCUCUUCUCUCUGCCGUCCUCCGAGGGAAGAGAGGCUCUCGGUGACGGAGAACGCUGGGUGCGAGCCCGUUAGUUGGUCGGCAACCAGAACCGAUAUCGUGUUCCCCGGAAAGAGCGCGACGCCGUCGAAGGAGAUAACCAGCGAGAUGGCAGCUAGCCAGUAUUAUCACGUACAGUGCACGCCCACCGUGUAUCCGGCCGAUCCCUUCGAUGCCGAGGAAGAUGCCAGUCUUCUGCGGACUGCGAUGAAGGGUUUCGGGACCGAUGAGCAGACCGUCAUCGACGUCUUGGCUCAUCGCGGCAUCGUCCAGCGACUGGAGAUCGCCGACAAAUUCAAGACAAUGUACGGCAAGGAUCUCAUCUCCGAGCUGAAGUCGGAGCUGUCCGGAAACUUCGAGAAUGUCAUCCUGGCCCUGAUGACGCCUCUUCCCGAGUAUUACGCCAAGGAGUUGCACAACGCCAUUUCCGGCAUGGGCACCGACGAGGGUGCGCUCAUCGAGGUCCUCGCAUCUCUGAGCAACUACGGCAUCAAGACGAUAUCGGCCGUUUACAAGGAUCUGUACGACAAAGAGCUGGAAGACGAUCUCAAGAGUGAUACCUCCGGUUAUUUCAAGAGACUUUUGGUGUCGCUGUGUUGCGCCAGCAGAAACGAGAAUCCUGACGUCGAUGAGGAAGCCGCACGUGAGGACGCCGAGAGGCUCCACGCCGCGGGCGAGGGACAGUGGGGUACCGACGAGAGUACUUUCAACGCAAUCCUCAUUACCAAGAGUUUUCCGCAAUUGCGAAGAAUCUUCAAGGAGUACGAGCGCCUGGCCGGACACACUUUGGAGCACGCUAUCAAGCGAGAAUUCUCUGGUUCCGUCGAAGACGGCUACUUAGCUGUGGUGAAAUGCGCCUCCGACAAAACCGCUUAUUUCGCGGAAAGACUGUACAAAGCUAUGCGCGGGAUGGGCACGACCGAUGCGACGUUGAUCCGCAUCAUUGUGGCGCGAUCGGAGAUCGAUCUGGGCGACAUUAAAGAUACCUAUGAGAGACUUUACGGGAAAUCCCUUGCGGAAGCUAUCGACGACGACUGUUCAGGCGACUACAAGAGACUCUUGCUUACCCUUCUCGGAUGAAAAAUUUCAAUCGUGCAACAGACCCUUUUAUCUCAAAAUUAUACUUCAAUGUCGCAGAGAUUAUACAGCGCUUGGUUGCAUUCUGCAUAAAGAUCUUGAUUUAUUUAUUAGUUCCUUACGUUUAGCUGACUGUUAAUGGUGAAUAUGGUUUUACUCGUGUUAUAUUAUUUACGUUUUGCGCUUGAUUAGAGUGAUGCAACGAGUUGCAAAAUAAUAGGACACCUGUACAUCACCGUAAUCGAAUCUCUGUGAAGAUCGAGUGUAAAUCGAUCUAUACAUAUAUUGAUUGGCAUAUAUUAAUUGUAUAUCAGUACAAAUUAUAAGUAUGAUUAUUAAUUCAAAUGCAAAUUUUUGCCCCUCACUGUACUAAUUCCAUUAAUUGGUCCAUCCAUCUCUGACCGCAUGCAUGCCUCUGUAAUUAAUUAAUGACUGCGGCGACGACUAUAAGCGGCUUCUGAUCGCGCUAUUGAAUUAAUUGAGCUCGAGGAGAAUUAUUUUCGUUACUAAGAACCCAAUCAGAUAUUUAACACGGGUGUCAAUAAUCCGAAAGCAUAAAUGUAACAAUGCAUUUAUCUGCAAUAAACGUAUACAUUCACAAAUAUAA